CUGGGGAUGCUGCCGGAGACAGAGCGCGACCCACCCCCACCGAACCCCAAUCCGGAGCCGCACCAGGCGUGCACACAGCCGGGGAGGCUGGGUUGCAAGGCAGGAUCUGACAGUAUCUGUGACCUGUGGGAACAGAGCGUUUUGCGCCAUUUCAGCGAGCCGCCCGCGCUACCCCUAGCAUUGCUGUGAAGUCCCGAGCCAGCGGCCUUGAACCCACCGGCUCGGACAGCGGCAGCAGCCCCGCUCCUUAGACCGCUUUCAAAAGCGGCUUCGCCAUGUGCAGCUGCUGCGGUGCCGAGCCAGCCCAGCCCGCUGUGAGAGUGAGGCGUGUUCCCAGGGCCUGUGCAACAUGGAACAGCUGCGGCGCUGAAGCGUGUAGCUACUUGGGAUUUGAGGAAUGGAUUCCAGGUUAAUUUAAAUGCCUGUUUUCCUUUGCAUAUAGUAAAAAGUCUUCCCUAGAAGACUGGUCACACAGA